AACGAACGCUGGCGGCAUGCCUAACACAUGCAAGUCGAACGCGUGUAGCAAUACACGAGCGGCGAACGGGUGAGUAACACGUGGGUGACCUGCCCUCAGCUCUGGGAUAAGCCCGGGAAACUGGGUCUAAUACCGGAUAUGACUCCAUGACGCAUGUUGUGGGUGGAAAGCCUUGUGCGGCUGAGGAUGGGCCCGCGGCCUAUCAGCUUGUUGGUGGGGG
rnacentral:rRNA from 1 species